UGCGGAAAGCUCUCCUCCAACAAUGGAAAAAAUUUCUCAACAACAGUUUACACUGGACAACAAGGAGGACCCCGUGGCUCUGGAGUGCCUGUCGUGUUCUUGUGCUGCAGGUAAAGCUCUAUGUAAUCACAUAGUAGCCCUGCUAUUUCAGACGGCACACUACAGUACCAUUGGCUUCAAGACUGCCACUGUCAUCCACCAGCUCGCUGCAGACAUGGCAUAGGCCAAGGACACAGGGAAUUGCACCGGAGGCAACAAAUGUGAUGAAGUUGUUUAAGCCACAGAAAAAAGAAGUGUUGGAACUGGUGCUAAGUGCACACUUUACAGAGCAUAUACUGAUGAGUUUAAAUUAGUUUUCCUCUCCACUCAUUAACCAUCAAUGC